CACCUCUGGGCUGGGAAAAACAGACAGCAGCAUAUUAAGAGCCAACCCUGAAGGGGUGUAGGAAGAGGUAGGCCUUGUGGGGAGAGGAUAAGCGUGAAAGAGGGGAGAGGAAGGCGGAGAGGAGAGAGAGCAACUAUCUCUGUCUUGUUCUUUAUCUCGUACUUGAGGUUCCAUUCGUCUUCUUGGUUCUUUUUCUCUUGAUUGCAGCUGUGCCACUACAUGGAUCCUAAGCUACCUGCUUCUGAAGUUUCCGAGGAAAAAGCUCGUCAAUCACUGAUCCAAAUCUCCCAGACAGAUCCAGCACAAGCCUUAGACUCAAAAUUGCCACACAACAACCUGAUUGCGUCCAAUGCUGUUCCGAACAGAGAUGCUCAAAAGAUUGAGGAAUAUAGGUUGAAGUUAAUGUCCAUUUCCGAUAUUGAAAACCCUGAUAUUAUUGCCUAAAUGUGGCUUCUCAAUUUGAAACUGCCGCUAGUUGAACCUGCAAAGCUAGUAGUAGACACAUGCUUUCAGGUUUCUGCUUGUCGGUUUAUAAAUGGAAGCCUGCACUUCAAACAGCUCUUACCAAGUGAUUGGGAAUCCCUUUUUCUAUUCCUUGUGCUUCAAUUGUAUGUUCUCCAAGUACUUGUACCCAGAAGUUUAUUUCUUGAUCAUUCUGACCAACAUAUGACAGACAAUAUAGACUCUGUUUUGGAUA